rnacentral:rRNA from 1 species
GACGAACGCUGGCGGCGUGCCUAAUACAUGCAAGUUGAGCGCUGAAGGUUGGUUCUUGUACCAACUGGAUGAGCAGCGAACGGGUGAGUAACGCGUGGGGAAUCUGCCUUUGAGCGGGGGACAACAUUUGGAAACGAAUGCUAAUACCGCAUAAAAACUUUAAACACAAGUUUUAAGUUUGAAAGAUGCAAUUGCAUCACUCAAAGAUGAUCCCGCGUUGUAUUAGCUAGUUGGUGAGGUAAAGGCUCACCAAGGCGAUGAUACAUAGCCGACCUGAGAGGGUGAUCGGCCACAUUGGGACUGAGACACGGCCCAAACUCCUACGGGAGGCAGCAGUAGGGAAUCUUCGGCAAUGGACGAAAGUCUGACCGAGCAACGCCGCGUGAGUGAAGAAGGUUUUCGGAUCGUAAAACUCUGUUGGUAGAGAAGAACGUUGGUGAGAGUGGAAAGCUCAUCAAGUGACGGUAACUACCCAGAAAGGGACGGCUAACUACGUG